CAGCGCGAGCGGGAAACGGCGGCGGCUCGCGCCACGACUAGCGCCUCCAUCGCGGCGGGAAUCUCGCGCCUAGCCGCCACUGAAGCAAGGAGAUCAUGUCAAAGCGUAUUUGAUCUGAAGGUGUUCGUCACCGGCACAGCAGAACCAGGUUUACAGAACGAGUGAGGACAGCCAGAGGCCAGCACACAUGAAGCAGCUGGGGUUAAAGGCCCAACAGUGAUACAAAUACUUGACUGGCCACGGAAUUCGGUCCCACAGGCUUCCAGUUACAGGCACAGAGCCCUGACCUGCUGAGCUUCCCACUAUUCGUAUAAAAUAUUAAAACGACCAUAUCUAAUCAGGUCUGAUGAUUUCCAAAAUGAGGAAAACCUUGUGUGUAAUAAGCCUCUAAUUCAAAAAUUAUCAGUUAAACUUAAAACAGCUCUUAGUGUCAUUUGUGAUAUAAGGAUAUUAGAAACUUAAACCACGGAAAAAAAAAAUCCAGCGACACCUUCUCCUCCACACGGCACACAGCCAGACCAGGGAGGCCGGUGUAAAGGCGUAUCAAGGCGUCAAAGGAAACCAAGGGAGUCGAUUCUGAGACUUUCGCUCCCUGCUGACUUAGUUUGAAUUACAGGCUCUGUGACCUGGAUGCAGAUCGUUACCAAAGAACUCUCCUGCUCAGGCCAUGCAGGAUUCUCCAUCUGUAAUUCCUGCAUGAGCAACCAGGCUCUCUCAUCUUUAAGCGUGGAACAGUGGGAACUUUUGGUGCUCACCUCCAGGCCUGGAUGUCAUGGCACAUCUGCGAUUCCCUCAGGCUGCGAGCGGUAAAAAUGCAGUCUGAGCUGGAAUCAGGAGGGAAGAAAGUUUGUCGUUCACAAACAUUACAAACCUUUCACAGAUCUUCCAGUGAGAGCGUGAAUCCAGCCAGCUAUCUACCUCCAAAUGACAACUUUGAGCAGCUUUCAGUGGAACAGCACCUACUUUAUAACAAUAACAUUAUGGGAUGGAGAGCAGGUCACUGUGAUGGGGAACACUUCCUAAAAGAUAAGCAGUAACUAUAAACAAGCAACAUCUGAAUCUGGAAAAAAAGCAAUUAUUUAAUUCAAAAAGGGAAUUAUGUCACUCAUUUCCAAUUAUUCAGCUUUAAAUAAAAAUCAGGCGGGGGCUCCAUUUUAUAGAACUCCCUGAGCUUGUAAUUAAUGCUGGGUCCAAAAGAGGGCCACCUUUUCUUAAUAAACCCCUCCAAAUGAA